GGUGAGUAACACGUGGGUAACCUGCCUGUAAGACUGGGAUAACUCCGGGAAACCGGGGCUAAUACCGGAUAACUUUUUUCUUCGCAUGAAGGAGAAUUGAAAGAUGGCUCCGGCUAUCACUUACAGAUGGACCCGCGGCGCAUUAGCUAGUUGGUGAGGUAACGGCUCACCAAGGCGACGAUGCGUAGCCGACUUGAGAGGGUGAUCGGCCACACUGGGACUGAGACACGGCCCAGACUCCUACGGGAGGCAGCAGUAGGGAAUCUUCCGCAAUGGACGAAAGUCUGACGGAGCAACGCCGCGUGAGUGAUGAAGGUUUUCGGAUCGUAAAACUCUGUUGUUAGGGAAGAACAAGUAUCGUUCGAAUAGGGCGGUACCUUGACGGUACCUAACCAGAAAGCCACGGCUAACUACGUGCCAGCAGCCGCGGUAAUACGUAGGUGGCAAGCGUUGUCCGGAAUUAUUGGGCGUAAAGCGCGCGCAGGCGGUUUCUUAAGUCUGAUGUGAAAUCUUGCGGCUCAACCGCAAGCGGCCAUUGGAAACUGGGAGACUUGAGUGCAGAAGAGGAGAGUGGAAUUCCACGUGUAGCGGUGAAAUGCGUAGAGAUGUGGAGGAACACCAGUGGCGAAGGCGACUCUCUGGUCUGUAACUGACGCUGAGGCGCGAAAGCGUGGGGAGCGAACAGGAUUAGAUACCCUGGUAGUCCACGCC
rnacentral:rRNA from 1 species